rnacentral:rRNA from 1 species
AACGAACGCUGGCGGCAUGCUUAACACAUGCAAGUCGAACGGGAAUCUUUUCCUUCGGGAGAAGAGGAGAGUGGCGAAUGGGUGAGUAACGCGUAGAUAAUCUACCCUUUAGUCUGGGAUAACCCCGUGAAAACGGGGCUAAUACCGGAUAACACUGAGGAUCGAGUGGUUUUCAGUUGAAAGUGUUAGCGCUGAGGGAUGAGUCUGCGUUGCAUUAGCUAGAUGGUGGGGUAACGGCUUACCAUGGCGACGAUGCAUAGCGGGUCUGAGAGGAUGAUCCGCCACACUGGCACUGAGACACGGGCCAGACUCCUACGGGAGGCAGCAGUGGGGAAUCUUGCGCAAUGGGCGAAAGCCUGACGCAGCAAUACCGCGUGAACGAAGAAGGCUCUAGGGUCGUAAAGUUCUUUAUCUCAGGGAAGAUAAUGACGGUACCUGAGGAAUAAGCACCGGCUAACUACGUGCCAGCAGCCGCGGUAAUACGUAGGGUGCAAGCGUUGUUCGGAAUUACUGGGCGUAAAGGGUGUGUAGGCGGAUAAAUUAGCUAGAGGUGAAAGCCCGGAGCUCAACUCCGGAACUGCUUUUAGAACUGUUUAUCUAGAGAGGGUCAGAGGCUAGCGGAAUUCCAGGUGUAGAGGUGAAAUUCGUAGAUAUCUGGAGGAACACCGGCGGCGAAAGCGGCUGGCUGGGGCCACUCUGACGCUGAGGCACGAAAGCGUGGGGAGCAAACGGGAUUAGAUACCCCGGUAGUCCACGCUGUAAACGAUGGAUACUAGAUGUCCGAGGGAAUCGACCCCCUUGGGUGUCACAGCUAACGCAUUAAGUAUCCCGCCUGGGGAGUACGGUCGCAAGACUAAAACUCAAAGGAAUUGACGGGGGCCCGCACAAGCGGUGGAACAUGUGGUUUAAUUCGACGCAACGCGAAGAACCUUACCUGGGUUUGACAUCCCGUGACCGCUCUAGAGAUAGAGUUUUUUCUUCGGAAACACGGUGACAGGUGCUGCAUGGCUGUCGUCAGCUCGUGUCGUGAGAUGUUGGGUUAAGUCCCGCAACGAGCGCAACCCUUGUCCUUAGUUGCCAUCAGGUUAUGCUGGGCACUCUAGGGAGACUGCCGGUGAUAAGCCGGAGGAAGGUGGGGAUGACGUCAAGUCCUCAUGGCCUUUAUAUCCAGGGCUACACACGUGUUACAAUGGCAACUACAAAGAGCUGCAAAACCGCGAGGUCAAGCGAAUCUCAAAAAAGUUGUCUCAGUUCGGAUUGUAGUCUGCAACUCGACUACAUGAAGGUGGAAUCGCUAGUAAUCGUGGAUCAGAACGCCACGGUGAAUACGUUCCCGGGCCUUGUACACACCGCCCGUCACACCAUGGGAGUUGACAUGGGCAGAAGUCGUUGAGCCAACUUCGGAGGCAGGUGUUCAAGCUCAGGUUGAUAACUAGGGUG